AGUGAACGCUGGCGGUAGGCCUAACACAUGCAAGUCGAACGGCAGCACAGUAAGAGCUUGCUCUUACGGGUGGCGAGUGGCGGACGGGUGAGGAAUACAUCGGAAUCUACUUUUUCGUGGGGGAUAACGUAGGGAAACUUACGCUAAUACCGCAUACGACCUACGGGUGAAAGCAGGGGAUCUUCGGACCUUGCGCGAUUGAAUGAGCCGAUGUCGGAUUAGCUAGUUGGCGGGGUAAAGGCCCACCAAGGCGACGAUCCGUAGCUGGUCUGAGAGGAUGAUCAGCCACAUUGGAACUGAGACACGGUCCAGACUCCUACGAGAGGCAGCAGUGGGGAAUAUUGGACAAUGGGCGCAAGCCUGGUCCAGCCAUACCGCGUGGGUGAAGAAGGCCUUCGGGUUGUAAAGCCCUUUUGUUGGGAAAGAAAAGCAGCCGGUUAAGACCCCGCUGUUCUGACGGUACCCAAAGAAUAAGCACCGGCUAACUUCGUG
rnacentral:rRNA from 1 species